GGAAACUGGGUCUAAUACCGAAUAUACCCUGCUGGUCGCAUGGCCUGGUGGGGGAAAGCUUUUGCGGUGUGGGAUGGGCCCGCGGCCUAUCAGCUUGUUGGUGGGGUGAUGGCCUACCAAGGCGACGACGGGUAGCCGGCCUGAGAGGGUGACCGGCCACACUGGGACUGAGAUACGGCCCAGACUCCUACGGGAGGCAGCAGUGGGGAAUAUUGCACAAUGGGCGCAAGCCUGAUGCAGCGACGCCGCGUGAGGGACGACGGCCUUCGGGUUGUAAACCUCUUUCAGCACAGACGAAGCGCAAGUGACGGUAUGUGCAGAAGAAGGACCGGCCAACUACGUGCCAGCAGCCGCGGUAAUACGUAGGGUCCGAGCGUUGUCCGGAAUUACUGGGCGUAAAGAGCUCGUAGGUGGUUUGUCGCGUUGUUCGUGAAAACUCACAACUCAAUUGUGGGCGUGCGGGCGAUACGGGCAGACUGGAGUACUGCAGGGGAGACUGGAAUUCCUGGUGUAGCGGUGGAAUGCGCAGAUAUCAGGGAGGAACACCGGUGGCGAAGGCGGGUCUCUGGGCAGUAACUGACGCUGAGGAGCGAAAGCGUGGGG
rnacentral:rRNA from 1 species